UUUUUCUGCUGGUGAUGCUGGGACUCCUUGUACAAGAAUCAAUGGCAGAUAUAGUUCUGACUCAGGAUCCAGCAGCUCAGUCUGUUCAGCUGGGAGACACUGUCUCUAUCAGCUGUACAGUCAGUCAGAGCGUUUACAAUGGCUACUACCUCAGCUGGUACCUGCAAAACCCUGGUCAGGCUCCUAAACUUCUGAUUUAUGCUGCCACAAGUCGCCAGUCUGGGAUUCCUGAUCGUUUCAGUGGGAGUGGAUCUGGGACUCAGUUUACACUGAAAAUCACUGGAGUCCAGGCUGAAGAUGCAGGAGAUUAUUACUGUGAGGGUGCUCAUUAUAUCAGUAGUAGCUGGGUGUUCACACAGUGAUACAGAGCCGUACAAAAACCUCCCUCAGUCAGACUGCACAGAGACUGCACUGCUGCAGCUGGGACCGACUGCAGGUGCUGAGUGGGGAAGCACUGAUCUGG